CUUUAGUUUGUGAAGGGUAGUGUUUGGCUAAAUGGUAUUCAUUUUAUAGCCUUUAUUUGCCCAAUGUUUGGUGACUUAAAUUGAGGCAUGUGUUUAUUUAAGAUGCAUGUGAGUGUAGUAGUGCUUCAGUGAUGGUCUUUUCAUGUUCUGUGUGUUUUGCAAUGUAUUAAUUAAUGUAAGCCUCUUUCUGUUCCCUCUGUUAGUAGGUGGUGUGAGGACUGCUGCCCUGAGAACGCUGUGUCAGAGACACUUAGGCUGUGUGCAUUUUGGAAUGUUCCAAAUGUGUGUCACUUCCAUAAGGAAGAAGUUCCAAGCCUGCAAUUUAUCCCCUCCUUUCAUGUGUCUGUUAUGACUUUGUGGGCUCAACUGUCAACAACUGUCCAGGGAGAAGUCGGUCUACCCUGAUGGCACUACCUGAUGGCACUACCCUGAUGAUGUCUGUUAGCCAUGGCUGCUGCCCUCAACAUGGUGAGCCAUCCAGAAGUCCCAGCCUGGAGCCAGAGGCUGCUAUUGCAAGUCAGAUGGGAGAUGGCCUACAGUAUGUUAGGCAUCAGAAAAGUGGUGUUCGCAUGAAGGCAGAGUUGCCGCAGGCAAUUAUGAGAUUAG